UUGCGCACGGUCUAAAGUCGCAUUUAAGUCUUAAGCAAGGCCAUAUAUAGUGUCUUAAGUAGCACUUAGAUCGAUUUAAGCUUGUCGGAUCGCUGGAAGUGCGCAAAUCGAUACGGCGCGAGACAAGUGAUAGGAAUGAAUAGAAAGUUAACAAGUAAAAUCAAAAAGUACGAUGAAAUUUUCAGCCGGCCAUUUAAAAGCACACGUGCGUUUUUCUUCAAAGCACUCAAGGCAAAAAAGACAGGCUCACAAAUCCAACUGCAGUAUAUCUUAUAAACUUCUUCCUGGUCGCCGCCCUGCUGGCCGUUGCCGCCGCCGACAGCGCGCCCUCCUACGCGCCCAGGCCCGCCUACCACCCCCAGCCGGCCUACAAGCCCGCUCCCUACAAGCAGGAGAGCUACGACCAGCCGCCCAAGUACGACUUCAGCUACGACGUCCACGGAUACGGAGACUACGAGCCCGUCUUCAACGCCCAGGAGGCGCGUGACGGCUACGCCACCCAGGGAUCUUACUCGGUUGUGCUGCCCGACGGCCGUACCCAGACGGUCACCUACCGUGUGGAUGACGCCUACUCUGGCAACAUUGCCGAGGUCACCUACGAGGGUGAGGCCCGCUACGACGAGUACAAGCCCAGCUACAAGCCCACCCCUACUUACAAGCCCGCCCCGACCUACAAGCCCGCCCCCACCUACAAGCCCACUCCCGCUUACAACUAAAUAGACCACUGUGCCUUGUGAUAUGCGUCUACGAUGUGAACUGAACCUGUUCAUUAUCUUGGCUUGUACUGUGUAAAUAUCUUCUGACUUACGAUUGACACAAUUACACAUUGUGCUUCGUAAGACAGGUCAUGUAAAUAUCAUAUUUAUUGAAAUAAAACAAAUGCACGAU
rnacentral:misc_RNA from 1 species